GAUGAACGCUGGCGGCGUGCCUAAUACAUGCAAGUCGAGCGAACGGACGAGAAGCUUGCUGCUCUGAUGUUAGCGGCGGACGGGUGAGUAACACGUGGAUAACCUACCUAUAAGACUGGGAUAACUUCGGGAAACCGGAGCUAAUACCGGAUAAUAUUUUGAACCGCAUGGUUCAAAAGUGAAAGACGGUCUUGCUGUCACUUAUAGAUGGAUCCGCGCUGCAUUAGCUAGUUGGUAAGGUAACGGCUUACCAAGGCAACGAUGCAUAGCCGACCUGAGAGGGUGGUCGCCCACACUGGAACUGAGACACGGUCCAGACUCCUACGGGAGGCAGCAGUAGGGAAUCUUACGCAAUGGGCGAAAGCCUGACGGAGCAACGCCGCGUGAGUGAUGAAGGUCUUCGGAUCGUAAAACUCUGUUAUUAGGGAAGAACAAAUGUGUAAGUAACUGUGCACAUCUUGACGGUACCUAAUCAGAAAGCCACGGCUAACUACGUG
rnacentral:rRNA from 1 species